CCUGAAUACAGAUCCACAAUAUUUAGUCUCACUGAGGCAACCCUCUCAUUCCAGGAUUAGCCAGGUGAAUAUCUUUUCCUCUCAUGUUGCUCCUCCCCGCCACACGUUUUUCUUUUCUGGAGACAUAAGACUGCAGACACUGGAAUCUGGAGCAACCCAACCUACUGGAGGAACUCAAUGGGAUGAGCAGCUUGGGUGGGAGAAGAGAAGUUGUCAAUAUUUUGUGCUGAAGCUCUGUAUUAGGACUGAGAGUGGAGAGGCAUUCACAGUAAAGAACUACAAUGAAAAACUGCACACAGACUGACAAGCAACCGAUGUGCACAAGAAGACAAAUCAUGCAA